rnacentral:rRNA from 1 species
UAGGGAAUAUUGGUCAAUGGGGGAAACCCUGAACCAGCGACGCCGCGUGAGGGAAGAAGGUUUUCGGAUUGUAAACCUCUGUCUUUGGGGAAGAGAAGAAGACGGUACCCAAAGAGGAAGCUACGGCUAACUACGUGCCAGCAGCCGCGGUAAUACGUAGGUGGCGAGCGUUGUCCGGAAUUACUGGGUGUAAAGGGAGUGUAGGCGGGGUUUCAAGUUGAAUGUGAAAUCUAUCGGCUUAACCGGUAGGCUGCGUUCAAAACUGGAGCUCUUGAGUGAAGUAGAGGCAGAUGGAAUUCCUAGUGUAGCGGUGAAAUGCGUAGAUAUUAGGAGGAACACCAGUGGCGAAGGCGAUCUGCUGGGCUUUAACUGACGCUGAGGCUCGAAAGCGUGGGGAGCAAACA